rnacentral:rRNA from 1 species
CCUACGGGCGGCAGCAGUGAGGAAUAUUGGUCAAUGGACGAGAGUCUGAACCAGCCAAGUAGCGUGAAGGAUGACUGCCCUAUGGGUUGUAAACUUCUUUUAUAUGGGAAUAAAAUGUUCCACGUGUGGGAUUUUGUAUGUACCAUAUGAAUAAGGAUCGGCUAACUCCGUGCCAGCCGCCGCGGUAAUACGGAGGAUCCGAGCGUUAUCCGGAUUUAUUGGGUUUAAAGGGAGCGUAGGUGGAUUGUUAAGUCAGUUGUGAAAGUUUGCGGCUCAACCGUAAAAUUGCAGUUGAAACUGGCAGUCUUGAGUACAGUAGAGGUGGGCGGAAUUCGUGGUGUAGCGGUGAAAUGCUUAGAUAUCACGAAGAACUCCGAGUGCGAAGGCAGCUCACUGGACUGCAACUGACACUGAGGCUCGAAAGUGUGGGUAUCAAACAGGAUUAGAUACCCGGGUAGUC